UCGACUAAUAUUUGAAUAUGAAGAAAAUUUUCUCUACUUGUAAAAUGUUCGACUUAUACAUUUCCAUCAUCUAUCUCACUUUAAUUAUCAUCAUUAUCUCUGAUCUCUCAUAUUGUUGGUGCUCUUCCGUACGGCGUAAUACAAUGACGUAUUGUACUACAAUUUAUAAACAUUUCGCUACUCCUCCCAGAUUUUUUUUUCUUCUGAAGGACUUAUAUUUUAUUAUUAUUAUAGGUUAAGCUGUUAUUUUCGUCUAACACAGUAUUCAAAAUCAAGAAUAGCUUUAUUAAAAUAGGCACAUUUUUGAUUUUAGUUUUAAAUAUCUUGCAUGAAUGGAAUGUCACUCCAUCCACAUAUCUUGCUCAUUUUUGUAAGCCCGCACUGAAUAUUAAGCUUAACAUAAAAUGGUAGGUCAUUUAUAUAUAUUAAAAAAAGAAAAGGACCUAGAAUCGAUCCCUGAGAAACUUCCAUUUUCGGUAUGGAUCCAGAAGACUUCGUUUUGUUUAUUGAUACGUAUUGAAUGCUAUUAGUUAGAUAUGAAUCAAUGAGAUUAAGAGCUUUACCGUUAAUAUUCAAGCUUACUUACUUUAUGGAAUCCCGUGGUCCACGCAAUCGCGCCUUUGAUAAGUCAUAAAAGAUACCAAUAGGAUAUUGUGACCUCUUCCGAGCGUCAUAUAUACUCGUACGCUUGAGAAGUUACAUCGGCAUCUGUCGUAGAGCGUACUUUUAGUGAAACCACAUUGUUCAUUGUCAAAAACGCCGUUAACCUUAAAAUAAAUAAUUGUUUAGUUUAGUAUAUUUUUUCUAAAAGUUUUACCUCAGGACAGGUUUAUAAUUACUGGAAUCAUUUAGAUUUCCUUUGUUUUUAAUGGGAAAACUACUAUAUUUUGACAAAUCUCGAACAGAAACCACUUUAAGAGCAUUGCUAAAAAUUAAUGCUAAGUACGGAGCGAGAUCAUCAUUAUAGGCAGUGGUCGAUUUUAAAAUGUACUAAGUGCCUAGUGCGAGUUUUUUUUAAUCCGUUUCGCAAUAACGGAUGUAAAUUUUAACUUUAUUUUGUAUGGGAAAUUCGGCAUUUCAACCUAGUUCUCGCGUUUGCCGCUAGAUGACUCUGUAUCGAUUGUAUCGUAUACUAUUGUUAAUCGUCUAGGCUGCAGUGUUUAUAUCCCCAUGCAAAAUAAUCUUCACUAUAAACGCGUUUCUCUCAUGUUUCUGUGAAUAAAACUCGCACUAGGCACUCUGAAGUGUCGUCAACGUACAACACGGUACGCAGGCGGGGCGCGGCGCGCUGGUGGCGCGGCCGCGCGCGCUGGUGUACGCGAACGCCGAG
rnacentral:misc_RNA from 1 species